rnacentral:lncRNA from 1 species
GGAUUCCUAGGAGGAACUGACAAGUGGUGCUCUAAAGCCCAACCAACUCCUUUUUUUAAAGAAGAAGCUCCAGUUUGUAUGAGGCCUGACUCCAAUUCCAGGAUGAAAACCAUGAAGUCCACUUGUGCAAACAUAAUACGGCAACUGCCCAGACUCCUGGACCCUACGCCUAGCAACGGCCAGUCAGGCUACACCGGCAGGGCCAAGGAAGCAGCUGGGGGUGGAGGUCUAGGGACAUUCUCUGGAACUUGUUACUGAACAACAACAACAAAAAAGGCACAUGCCACAAAGAUCAUUUCAAAUCAGCGCACCAGAUCCUGCUACUGCACUGACCGUGCUGGGGUAAGGCUGACCCAUCCUUCCUAGAAGGAGACACCGAGGAGACCGGGUCUGCACCACAAGAAGAUGAAAGGGUGACCCUUGAAAAGCAUGUCUGUGGAGUUUAUUUUAAGCAGUUCAAACUUUUCUGGUUUUAAAACAUAGAGGUCAUAUUAAAAAUUAAAAAG